GACGAACGCUGGCGGCGUGCUUAACACAUGCAAGUCGAACGAAGUGGCGAACGGGUGAGUAACGCGUAAUCAACCUGCCCUUCAGAGGGGGACAACAGUUGGAAACGACUGCUAAUACCGCAUACUGAAGGAGGGGAUUGCGUCGGAUUAGCUAGUGGGAGGGGUAAAGGCCCACCAAGGCGAUGAUCAGUAGGCGGUCUGGAAGGGUGAACCGCCACAAUGGGACUGGGACACGGCCCAAGCUCCUACGGGAGGCAGCAGGUGGGAAUCAUCCGAAAUGGACGAAAGUCUGACGGAGCAACGCCGCGUGAGUGAUGACGGCCUUCGGGUUGGAAAGCUCUGUUAAUCGGGACGCGGUACCGGAAUAGAAAGCCACGGCUAACUACGUGCCAGCAGCCGCGGUAAUAC
rnacentral:rRNA from 1 species